AGCCUCCUGAAUUCGUGCCAAUAUUUCAAUCAGACACCAAGACACAAGGACCGAUCAAACUUCCAAGAUAAGUGAAGUG
rnacentral:pre_miRNA from 1 species